CGGGGACAUAAUCCUGGGGCACGG
rnacentral:misc_RNA from 1 species